UUUUUUUUUUUUUUUUUCAUUUUAGACUCUCAGGUAAAUGUUCCACUCCAUUAAUUACUGACUUGAAAUCUCUAGUUUCUCAUUGUUCAGUUUAAGAACAAACAGAGGGCCUAAACACAAAACAUGCACAUGUGUUACCUAUCUAAAAUCCAAUAUAAGCAAGAUAUUUGCCAGAUGUGUUUUCUAAGAUGCAAUGUGCUGAUUACAACGAAAAUCAAAAUAUAUAUUGUUAAAUUAAUCUAAGAUCUUAUACAAAUAAGUUAGAUGACUUAAAUGCUGUAACAAUUCCAGUGUUUCCAACCUCUUAAUAUUUACUAUGUGCAUAAAUGUAUAUAUGUCUGGUGUGUAUAUACCUAUACAUGCUGUUCUUUUUACUAGUUAUUUAGUGAGUCCAGAGAACUGUGCUGCUGUCAGGCUAACAGCUGUAAACAGAACUGAAAAUUUUGACCAAUCAAAGUACUUAGUAUGGUCCAAAGCAUGGGAAAAAAAUGGCAGGGACAGGUUUUGUGCCACUGACACAAUUCUGGUAUGACAUCAGUAAUUCCAUUUGAGUUAACCUUACAGUAGUUCCAAGGCCUGUGGCUGCUGAGCUCUAUAUUGAGUACUUUCCUUAGUUUUACAACCAAGAAUCGGCAGAACACUUGCUUGUUGAGAAUACAGGAAUCGAAAUUACCUGUGGGGAAUUUGGCAAGCUACUACUCCUCUAUUUACAUGUUUUCAGUUAAAUAAAAAAACUAAUACACCCAUGAACACUGGCUGAAGUUGAUGAUAAAACUCUCAUGUAAUUUUAAGGUAAUAUUUUCUAAGCCUCAAAAGCAGUGGAAUAUUCAUAUCUGAGAAGUACCAGAAUGUAAAAAUAAAAAAAAAUGAAGUGGAACUCUAGCUAUGCUUUUAUGGCAUUUAUCUGUGUUCCACACAUUUCCAGAAAGAAUUUAAUGUACUUGUGUAUCACUGAUCUCACCUGGAAAGUUAGAGCUUACAAUGUUUACAUAUGCUCUCACCAAUUACUACAACUCCUCAUGAUGUGGUAGAGUGGUGCCUAUAUAAAUGUGCAGGAAAUGUCAUGUAUUCCUUGCCCUCACUGAUGAGUUAUAUUUAUAUGUUUAUAUGUUUCUGGUUACUGUAGAGUUUGGCAGCCUACACAUUUUCCAGUAAAAAGCAGGAUCACAAUGUGAGAUGUUUCAUACAGUCAGAAAAGAAUGGGAGAACCUUUGUGCUGUCCUUCUCCUGCAAGAACUGCAAAUACAGGUGCAAGGAAGUUUAAUUCCUAGAGCAUCCUCACUGACUUUUGCUAAGCUUGAUAUAAAAAGAGGGCUUCCCACACAUUCAAUUUUAAGAAUUGAGUUUCAAACAUCAUAUUGAAUUAUUAUUAACUGCUACCGCAUCAUACUUACGAUUUUGCUUUCUUCUAGUAAUGUGCUACAAAAAAAGACGACACAUCUGCCAGGUGUCGGUUCAAUCUCUCAUUCUUCCCUAAGGUGAGAAAGAUGUAGCAGUGGGGUUCUUGUUUAAAGAGCUGGUGUUUAAUAAACACGUUAGGAAAGCUGAGGUUAGGGCUGGCACACGAUGCGUGACAAGCAGUGAGCAUUAGAGCAGUUCUCUCUUGCUCUCAGGUAAGCUCAUUGAGGUAUAAUGUCAGCUUAUCGAAAAGGCUGCCAAUUUGGUAGGAGAGCAUUGCUGAGGAUCACAGCCUUUUACCAGAGAUUUCUGAGCAGUGAAUUCAGACAAGGGAGUCUGCUGAAAGGCUGGUUCUGGAUUUGAAACUGUAUGGGAAGGCAGCAGAGGUAACAAAGGAUAUGUAAUAUACUUGUAAUUGACUGAGGAGGUGCUCUGCAGCAUUUUUCAUUGCCUAUCACUUCCCAUAUCUUGAGAACUUCAUGUUCAGUUUAUUAUCCUCUAUUUCAGUCAAGCAAUGAAAAGACCAUGCCAUUUGUUGGAAAGAUAUUUAGCAGCUUUAUAUCCAAUGGGAGACAACCGAAAGAAUUGUUUGUAGCCACUCGUUGCUAUCUGAGAAUUUAUUUAAAUUAUAUAUAAUAAAUAAAUUUAUUUAUUACAGCCUAUACUGACAGAGGCAGGUUUUCUGCAGAGGGCUGCAAGCUACGAUGUGUUAUACUCAGCAGAAGUACAUUAAUAACUGUGAAAACACUUCUGCUGGUUUUGUCAGUGCUAAUUGUCACUUCCUCUAUUUUGUUCUAUUUGCAAUGAUGAUAAACACAAGUAAGAGAGAGAAAAUGGUGUUUUCCAGCAGUUUUUUAUAAUGGCUAAACCUGAAUGACCUUUCUCCACACAACUGAGAGCCGUGGGGUAGCUGCUGUUGGGAAAUGGAGGCUUUCUACAAUGGCAUGUGGCAACUCCAUAAUACGCUAAGAAACUCAGCGAAGGCAACCUGCAUCAUGUUGUCCUGGUUUUGGCUGGGAUAGAGCUAGUUGCCUCCUUAGUAGCUGGUACAGUGCUGUGUUUUGGAGUUAGUAUGAGAACAAUGUUGAAAACAAACUGGUGUUUUGGAUGUUGCUAAGCAGUGCUUACCCCUGGUCAAGGACUUUUCAAUUUCUCACACUCUGCCAGCGAGGAGGUGCACAAGAAGCUGGAGGGAACAUGGCUGGGACAGCUGACCUGAAGUGGCCAAGGGGAUGUUCCACACCAUAGAACAUCAUAUUCAGCAUAUAAACUGAAGUGAAUUAUAUGGAUGAGUACAGUCACUAUUUGAGGACAGGUUGGGCAUUGGAUAGUGAGCAACUGUAUUCUGUAUCACCUGUUUAUUUGGUUUCUUCCCAAAUUUUAUUAUUAAUCUAAUGUAACAUCAGUAUUAAUUUUUAUAAUUAGCACUCUUCUAUUUUGUUUAAUUUAUUAAAUUACUGUUGUCUAAACCCAUGAGUUUGCAGGAUUUUUUCCUUUCCCUGAGUCUGCUACCCACCUCAUGGCAGAGCAAAGGCAGGGGGAAGUGAAUGAGCAGCUUUGUGGUACUUGCUUAGCAGCUGGGGAUAAACCUGACAAUGGAUCCUUACUUGGAAAAAACUUUGUCUUGGAUCAAACAAGAUAACAAUUGUGACCGUACUCCUGACAAUCUGGGCUGAGGACACUAAUAACUUACAUGAUCAUUCUUCCACAACUAGUUUCCUAAAAAUAAGUCCAAUAGGGGAUCCACUGGACUGCUGAAGACACACUUAAAGUUAUAAACCUGUCCCUGCAUGCAAAUUUUUUCCCCAGAUUUACAAAUAAAAGCAGCAAAAUGCUUCAGACACUGUCCAUACUGCUACAAUGAGCUGUAUUGUUAAGACUAUAAUUUUCAAUUUUUUAUUAACUAGAUGUGAACAUAAUAUUGUGUCUUGUUCAAGAUUUAGCACUUUAAUAGUGCUAAACUACUGCCUACUUGUUAAAUUAAAUCCUAAAGGAUCAGAAAGUAGUUAAAUUACCAUGAUUAAAAUUCUCAUCAGCAAGGACCAAACUCAACAGAUAUCUCAACAAUGACAUAAGCAUGAUUCACCACGUCAGGAUAUCCUUGAGCAUUUGAGGUUUUGAAAUAUUUACAACAAUGUUCUUUAGUGGAGUCAAAUAUAAGAAUACAAAAAUGGAAGUUGAUUCUGGGUUUUUGAUUGCUUAUUUUUACUGAAGAUGCAACAACUGUCCUUUUCAUGUUGCAUUUUCAAUUAUUUGACCCAUUUUGAAGCAUCUGGAUUUUGAGAAUUCAUGCUAUUGGUUCUGCCAAAAGAAAAUGUCCAUUCAUGGCUACUAGCAAGGAGGGAAGGAUAAGAAACUAUAAUCAUUGCUAAAGCACAUACUGCUAAGUAUCAGCAUCUAAAAUGUCCAUAUUAUGAAAGAAAAUAAAUCUAAAAAGAAACAUAAUGGUUUCCCCAGCUGUCUUUGCAGACCUGGGAAACAUGGAAUAUCAUCAAUGUAACUCUUUCUGGAUCUGACAGCAGUUAAAGACCGGUUAUAUACUGUGAGACUCAUGGCUAAAGAUUGCUACUGAGUAGAAAUCUCACUGAUUCAGGGGAUUUUUGCCUGGUACCCCACACAAAUUCUUCUCAUUGUAUCUAAUAUAGCAAUACAAAAUCAGAGUAAUAGCAUAAGAGUUUGUGGAAAUUACAAAGAGCUCUAUUAACAAGCCAGUUAUGAAGCCUCUGUGACUUGUGAUCUUAUAUACAACACCAUGCUUUGUUGAUAAUUUAUCAGCAAUAUUUUCAUGUGUGACAUCCCUACCUAGAUGGACCUGAAGGAUUAAAACCUGCUACUCAAUAGCAUUAUCUCUCACUCAAAAAAAAUAUGCAUAUGCAUACUCAGAACCAUUCCUCAGUGGAAUAAAAAACACAAAACCAAAAUGCAACUCCACCUCAACUCCCCAAACAAAACCCAGCUGUAAUUACAGUUGUAGCAGCUUGUUUGUAGUUGUUAUGGAGUGAAAUACACUGCUAAAGAGCAUCUCUUUCUCCAAUGACUAGUAAACUCUUCCUUUUGGAACCUCCCAUGCUAUUGAACAUUAUAAUGAACAUUGAUCAUUCAUUACCCAUAAAAAUCUAUUGUGACUAUGCUAUUCUGGCAUAUUCAGACAGACUCAACUCUUGAGAAUGACUCUCAAAGUUCCAACAGCAAUAUAGGUUUAUGUAGGCAUGGAGGGGAUGCCUGAUUAAGAAACCAUCUGAUGAGUUCAAACUAUUUUAACCCAUUAAUUGAAAAUGAAAUGCCUUUAGGGCAGGUUCUCCUGAAAGAGAAUAGCUUAUCACUUCAGCUGUGUGAAAUGCAGCAGACCCAGCUACCACACAAAACAGAGAUGUUAGCCAGAAGUUGUGUCCAGCAACUCAGAGCUACUGCAAAAACACAGCAAAUGAUAAAGACAGAAAAUCAGUUCUCAAGAUGCAAUGACUCACAUAAUUUUUCAGCAUGAAUUUUCUGUGACUCAGGAUUGCCAAGGAGCUCCGGUGACCGCACGGGCUCCCUGCACACCCCACACUCACACAGACAAGGUUUCCUUACCGGCUCACCCCUGCGUUUCCCACAGCAGAGACCCACAUGUCUGGAUCCUUACAAGAAUUUCAUCGCGGCACAGCAACAACAACUACCAGCCCGAGCUGGUGUCUGCCAAAAGGUUUCCCAAGGUUUUACCCUCACAGUCUGCGCACCCAAACAAUCUGAGGCCUUCGGCAGAGUCAUCAGCACCUGCUGUGUCUCUGAGUGUCCCC
ensembl:lncRNA